UACGUAGGGUGCAAGCGUUGUCCGGAAUUAUUGGGCGUAAAGAGCUCGUAGGCGGUUUGUCGCGUCUGCUGUGAAAACUCGGGGCUUAACUCCGGGCCUGCAGUGGGUACGGGCAGACUAGAGUGCGGUAGGGGAGACUGGAAUUCCUGGUGUAGCGGUGAAAUGCGCAGAUAUCAGGAAGAACACCGAUGGCGAAGGCAGUUCUCUGGGACGGUACUGACGCUGAGACGCGAAAGCGUGGGGAGCGAACAGG
rnacentral:rRNA from 1 species